rnacentral:rRNA from 1 species
UACGUAGGUGGCAAGCGUUGUCCGGAAUUAUUGGGCGUAAAGCGCGCGCAGGCGGUCCUUUAAGUCUGAUGUGAAAGCCCACGGCUCAACCGUGGAGGGUCAUUGGAAACUGGGGGACUUGAGUGCAGAAGAGGAGAGUGGAAUUCCACGUGUAGCGGUGAAAUGGCGUAGAGAUGUGGAGGAACACCAGUGGCGAAGGCGACUCUCUGGUCUGUAACUGACGCUGAGGCGCGAAAGCGUGGGGAGCAAACAGG